GACUUUUGUGUUAUUACUCAAAAUUGUCCUCCGUUAUCUAAUCCGUCAAAUGGGUGUUAAGUACAAGGUUAAAUAUGUAAUUUUAAUUUUGGUCUUCUAGGCCUUCUUAUUUCACCGCGCCAACAACAGGGUAAAAAAUAUUUUGAUUAAGAAUUUCCAACCUUGCGACUAUGUCUGCUCAAGCAAUAAUUCCCCAGAAAUUCGCCAAGUAAAUUCGCCCAAAGAAAACCCUAAGGAAGCAAAGCAAAUUUCUUCCCUACAUUGCAAUGGAUUCAAGACGACGGAAAAGGGGCGAAUGCACUCCGAAAUAUGUCUAUUCUAAAUCAACAGGGCAUGUGUUUCAGCCUACCUACACUUGAGGACCCCUUUAAUGACAGAAGUGGUAAGCCAGAUCCUGUGAAGAACAAAAAGUGAGCAGAUUCCAAGAAAGAAAAUAGGGCUGACAAGAAAAAGCUAGCUCCAAAUAAAAGGCCAACUGAUGUAUUUCAUGGACUGGUAUGAUCCUCCUAUAUGCUCGAGGUCGAAGAAAAUAAUACCGGGUCUAUUAAAGAAUAUCAAUAGAAAGGAGGAAGAAAUUAAGAGGCUAAAUGCAAGGAUUCAAGAAGCUGUCAAUGACUCCUAGUGUAAUGUGAAAUUUGUGUUGGUAGUGGUAUUAGUGUUGUGUGCUAUGAUAUAUAUUCAACUUGUAAUAGGGGUGGGGAGUUUUGGAGAAAAAGAGACUAGUUUUACUCAACUUAGAUUGAAUUAAUGUAAGUUAAUUUGCA